rnacentral:rRNA from 1 species
CCGUUUCCGUCUGUCUCAACGUGCGAGUCGGACGGAAACAUGUCUAGCUUGCUAGAUGAUGUCGAGUGGCGGACGGGUGAGUAAUGCCUGGGAAUUUGCCUUUGUGUGGGGGAUAACUAUUGGAAACGAUAGCUAAUACCGCAUAAUACCUACGGGUCAAAGGGGGCUUCGGCUCCCGCGCAAAGAGAAGCCCAGGUGAGAUUAGCUUGUUGGUGAGGUAAAGGCUCACCAAGGCGACGAUCUCUAGCUGUUCUGAGAGGAAGAUCAGCCACACUGGAACUGAGACAUGGUCCAGACUCCUACGGGAGGCAGCAGUGGGGAAUAUUGCACAAUGGAGGGAACUCUGAUGCAGCCAUGCCGCGUGUGUGAAGAAGGCCUUCGGGUUGUAAAGCACUUUCAGUUGUGAGGAAAGGUUAGUAGUUAAUACCUGCUAGCUGUGACGUUAACAACAGAAGAAGCACCGGCUAACUCCGUGCCAGCAGCCGCGGUAAC